UCCCAAAAUACCUUCUUCUAGCCCUUCUCGUAGGAGUGGUGGCUCUCACCACUCCCUCCGACGCUGGCCACAAGCCCCCGGAGACGAAGCCACCAACUCCUAUCCACAAACCUCCAACCGGACACAAACCCCCAACUCUUGCCGACGAGAAGAAGACGUCUGUGGACCAGCACAAGCCUCCUGCUCCUGGUGGCAAGCAUCCUGGUCCUCCUGGACACAAGCCGCCUUCCCUCUCCGAUGCCAAGGAUACUAGCCACAUCCCGGAGCCUAAGCCCAAACCAUAUGGGAAGCCACCGGUGCAUGUGAAGCCGCCGGGACCUUACAAGCCACCUCACAAGCCACCUCACAAGCCACCGUCCGCUGACCACCUGAACUAGAGAGGGCUGCUGUGCUGCAGCUCGACGCAUGGGGGUUGGAUAUCCAAAUAAGAGGCUUCCUUAGACGUUAUAUAAAAUACACACGCGGCAUGUGUCAUAAUUUAACGUUAUGCUUUUAUCUGUAUGCAUGACAUGAUUUCCUGCUACUAGCUAGAGAGGCCUCGAUCGCCAUGUGUACUGCUAUGUAUCUGGCUUUGCUAGUACAAUGAGAAACUUUGACAAGCCAAUAUCUUACUGGAAAAUACGUAAGUAGUGCUAAAUUAUCUUCUUGCCAAUGACUGGAGCUCUGGGCUA
rnacentral:lncRNA from 1 species